UGCGGGAUCGUUCAAUGGUAGGACAUCAGACUUUGGAUCUGAGUAUCUAGGUUCGAAUCCUAGUCCCGCAG
rnacentral:tRNA from 1 species